rnacentral:rRNA from 1 species
GACGAACGCUGGCGGCGUGCCUAAUACAUGCAAGUCGAACGCACAGUCUAUACCGUCGCUUGCUCCACCAUAGCCUGUGAGUUGCGAACGGGUGAGUAACGCGUAGCUAACCUGCCUGGCAGCGGGGGCUAACUAUCGUACACGACAGCUAACACCGCUUAAUAUUGAUUAUUCCAUGCUAAUUGACUGAAAGUUGCUAUUGCAUCACUACCUUAUGGUCCUCCGUUGUAUUUGCUAGUAGGCGAGGUAACGGCUCACCCAGGCGAAGUUACAUCGCCGCCCUGGGUGCGAGACCGGCCACACUGGGACGUAGACACGGCCCAGCCUCCCACGGGAGGCAGCAGCAGCGAAUCUUCCGCCAUGGGGCAAAGUCUGACCGAGCAACGCCGCGCGAGUGAAGAAGCUUAUCGGAUCGUAAAGCUCUGUCGUAGGGGAAGAACGGGCGUCAGAGUGGAAAGUUCACCCUGUGACGGUAUCUUACCAGAAAGGGACGGCUAACUACGUG